rnacentral:snRNA from 1 species
GGGUGUAAGGGUGAUCUGGCUGCAACAUGUGUCACCCCAUUGAUCGCCAGGGUUGAUUUGGCUGAUCAGGCUGGCUAGGUGGGUGUCCCCUUCCUCCCUCACCUCUCCAUGUGCAUCCCUCCCAAAGCUGUGUGCUCUGUCAAAGAGGACGGCCUUCCCUGAAUAGAGAUGGACCGGUCUUUGGUAGAGGGUAGAUGAGUAGUUGUGCUCCCCUGCUAGGACCUCCAAAUAAGCUCUCAAGUACUGAUUUAUUGUAAAUGUGAGUGACUAAUCUAUUUUUUCUGCUUAAU